UAGGGAAUCUUCGGCAAUGGGGGCAACCCUGACCGAGCAACGCCGCGUGAGUGAAGAAGGUUUUCGGAUCGUAAAGCUCUGUUGUAAGAGAAGAACGUGUGUGAGAGUGGAAAGUUCACACAGUGACGGUAACUUACCAGAAAGGGACGGCUAACUACGUCCCAG
rnacentral:rRNA from 1 species